rnacentral:lncRNA from 1 species
AGCAACCUUUGUUAUCUUCGCUCAAUCCUUCAAAGCUCAGUAGCUCACUAAAAUCUCAUAAUCCCCAGUCAACAAAUCACCCAGAAAACCCACUUUUUCCCUCAAUUUGCCAAAUCUCUUUGGUGUAUUCUUGUUAUCGUCAAAAGUAGAGCCAAUUAUUUCAAGAAAACCCUUUGAAGUUCUUGAAAACAUAAAGUAGAGAGAGUCAUGGCCGUACCUCCCCCAGCUGGUGGUGCUCCGCCGCAGUUGUACUUUGAUGAAAAGUGGAAGCUCUCGAAGAAGGAAAGUUCAUCAAGAAAUCAUUCCUCGAACAAUUUCGUCAGAAAUUCAUCCCGGAAAAGGUGUUCUUUUGCAAGAAAGUGUGCUGCUUUAGUUAAGGAACAGAGGGCCAGGUUUUACAUCAUGCGACGCUGUGUAACCAUACUUGUUUGCUGGCGUGAAUACAAUGAAUCUUGAAUAGGAAAAAUGUCCAGAGAGAGAAGCAUACAUUUGGCUCUCUCUCUUUUCUUUCUUUUUCUUUUUUUUUGCCCUUUCUAAGAGACUGUCUUUUUCCUGGUUAAAGAUUUUUCCAGUGUCAGAGGAAGGAAGAAGAGGAGAAGAACGAAGAAAAUUGCACAAUGGAUCCAUGUAUGUACACAAAACAUAAAUAUAGUGAGACGCCAAAUUUUCUUUCUUUUCUUGAUUUCUUUAAAUUGUCAUCUAUUUUCUUGGAUCAAACUUCACUGAAAGGAGAAAAGGGUUCUUAAUUACCGUGAAGAUUCGUACAAAUUUUGUGGGGUUUAAUUAUUUUUGUUAAUUUUUGCAACAAAUCAAUAAUUUCAAUCUUGAUACACAGAGAGAGGGGAGAGGGAGAGAUUCCUGGUUUGCAGGUGCAGCACCGUGUGGAUCCAGUUCCUUGUUUGAAGAUAAUUAUAUAUUUUAUAUUGCAUUUCAAUCAGUACUGGCAAAUAUUAUGAAAUGAAAUUUAAAUAAUUUUUUAUAGCGUAGUUGAUGGAUCAAAUCAAACGUAAGCCUCUUGGGAUGGCUAAAGGGUGCUGGGGUAGAGAUAAUUCAGAGAUGCCUUUUCCCCUGUGCCAUUAAUUACUUGUGCAAGUGUAAAAUGGAAUGAAGAAAGGUCGUGGGGUCCACAUAGGUUGCGGUCAUUUCUAAUAGGUGGGCCCAGGAGUGAGG